UGAGGAAUUUUUCACAAUGGACGAAAGUCUGAUGGAGCAAUACCACGUGAACGAUGAAGGUCUUCUGAUUGUAAAGUUCUUUUAUUUAGGAAAAAAAGCGUGCUAGGAAAUGAGUGCGCCUUGAUGGUACUAAUUGAAUAAGUGACAGCUAACUAUGUGCCAGCAGCUGCGGUAAAACAUAGGUCACGAGCAUUAUCCGGAUUUAUUGGGCGUAAAGGAAGCGUAGGCGGGGAGGUUGAUCCAUUGUUAAAAGCAUUUGCUUAACAAAUGUGUGCAUUGGAGAUCGCCUCCCUAGAGUUAAUCAGGGGGUACUGGAAUUCAAUGUGUAGCGGUGGAAUGCGUAGAUAUAUUGAGGAACACCAGAGGCUAAGGCGAGUGCCUAGGAUAUAACUGACGCUGAGGCUUGAAAGCGUGGGGAGCAAAUGGGAUUAGACUACCCAGUACGUCCACGCCGUAAACGAUGAGC
rnacentral:rRNA from 1 species